ensembl:lncRNA
GUAUAUUAUUUUCAAACUGCAAAAAAAUCAAAGACAGUCUUUAAAACACCAGAGAAAAACACAUAGAACAUAUAGAAGGGAACAAAGACAAGAGGUACCUCGAGUUUCUCCUCAGAAACCAUGCAAGCCAGAGGAGAGUGGAAUGAAAUAGUUAAAGGGAAAAAAACUACUAACCUAGAAAUUCGUACCCUGUGAAAUUAUUCUUCAAAAGUGAAGGGGAAAUAACGACUUUCUCAGACAAACAAGUUUGAGAGAAUUUGUUACCAGUACCCCUGCUUAGCAAUAAAUGUUAAAAGAAGUUUCUUUGAGAGAAGGAAAAUAACACAGGUCAGAUCUACAUAAAGAACAUCAAAGGAGGAAUAAGUGAAGGGAAAAUAUAAAAUAUUUGUUUUUCUUAUUAAUUAAUCUAACGUGUAAGAGCUUGUUCAAAAUAAUAGCAAAAGUGUAUUUAACUAUGUAUGCAUAUAUAUAAGCAUGCUUAUAAGUAUGAUAUAUACGCAUGCACACUUUUGUACAAGAGAAAUGAAAGACAGCAAAAAUGCAAGCAACAGAGGGAGGAAUCAGCAUUGUCUGUUAUUGGUGUCAAACUAUGUGAGGCAAAACCUGAUAUACCUGCAAGGAGAGAGAGAGGAAUCUGCUAUCAUAGUUGAAGACUUCAGCACCCCUCUGUCAUAAACGGACAGACCCAGCAGAAAGAAAAUCAGUAAGGACAUAGUGGAGCUCAACAGUACCGUCAAUCAUCUGGAUACAAUGGACAUCUAUAGACCACUUCAUCCAAGAAGAGCACGGUAAGCAUUCGUCUCAAGCUCACAUGGAACAUGCACCAAGAGAGAUGGCAUUCUGGGCCAUAAAACACAUCUUAACAAAUUUAAAAGAAUAUAAAUCAUGCAAUGACUGCUCUCAGAUGACAAUGGAAUUAAACUUGAAAUACAUAACAGAAAGGCAACUAAAAAAUUCCAAAAAUAUAUGAAGAUUAAACAUCUUACUUCUAAAUAACACAUGGAUUAAAAAGCAGAAACACAAUUAAAAGACAAAAAAUAAACUAGAAAAACAUUUACAAAAUCUAUAGCAAAU